GAUGAACGCUGGCGGCGUGCCUAAUACAUGCAAGUCGAGCGAACAGACGAGGAGCUUGCUCCUCUGACGUUAGCGGCGGACGGGUGAGUAACACGUGGAUAACCUACCUAUAAGACUGGGAUAACUUCGGGAAACCGGAGCUAAUACCGGAUAAUAUAUUGAACCGCAUGGUUCAAUAGUGAAAGACGGUUUUGCUGUCACUUAUAGAUGGAUCCGCGCCGCAUUAGCUAGUUGGUAAGGUAACGGCUUACCAAGGCAACGAUGCGUAGCCGACCUGAGAGGGUGAACGGCCACAGUGAAACUGAGAGACGGUCCAGACUCCGAGGGGAGGCAGCAGUAGGGAAUCUUCCGCAAUGGGCGAAAGCCUGACGGAGCAACGCCGCGUGAGUGAUGAAGGUCUUCGGAUCGUAAAACUCUGUUAUUAGGGAAGAACAAAUGUGUAAGUAACUAUGCACGUCUUGACGGUACCUAAGCAGAAAGCCACGGCUAACUACGU
rnacentral:rRNA from 1 species